GUCCUGGACUCCUAAGGUGCAGGCCAUUUCUUUUUCUGUCUUGUAAUUUCCUGUUUCCUCCUGCCUCUCCUACUGACCAUAUCUUGAGAGCAGGACUGUCUUUUUCUCUGAUGUACUUCGAGAGCCUGCACAAGAGUGUGUUGACUAAAGCAACCAAUGGCGGUCCCAGCUAACGUGACCGCUUCCUAUUUUGAACUUCAAAGCUCUCCAUCCAGGAUGCCUCUUAAGGGCCAAAGUGCCCCAGCUGGAAUUGGAACCCUCCCAGGCAUAUCCAGUGUGUGUCCCACUGCCCGGUCGCCUGUGCAUGGGUCUAUCAUUGCCUGGAAUUGGUGGGCAGAGGAAUGAUGGUCAUGGAUAAGGGACCAUCCCUCCAAAGCGCAUCACCUCUUCUUUCAGUGGUCACAUUCAGGCCCUAGCUCCUCACUCAGUUGUAGAACCCCAAAACUCAGUUUGAGUACCUGAUGUGCAGGAAGCCAAACAGUGACACAUCAGUG
rnacentral:lncRNA from 10 species